rnacentral:miRNA from 1 species
AGGUCUAAGUGGUCCUCGCUGC